UGCAGGCUGCUGGUUGGGCUGCUGUCAUUGGAAGGCUUCACUGGGGCCAGAGGACUCGCUUCUGAUCUCACUCACGUGGCUGUUGGCAGGAGGCCUCAGUCGCUCACAAUCUGGGCCUCUUCAUAAGCCUGCUCUGGUGUCAUGGCAGCGGCCUCUCCAGAACGAGUGAUGGGAGAGCCAGAAAGCAACUGAGAUCGACAUCUUGAAUAAGCUAAUCUCGGCCAGGACGCCCGUCACUUCUGCUGUACACUGUUGGUCACACAGACAAAUCCCUGGUACCAUGUGGCAGCUGACCACACAGGCAGUGAUACCAGGAGGCUCCAAAGCUGAGCUGGGCCUUGAUUUGUCUGCUUUCUAUUUGAUUUAUUUCUGUACCUGUUACACUUUGGGGCAGUAAGCCAGUGUCCUAGCUGGUUGGGUUGGAAGAGGGCAACACGUACAAGAAAGUGUAGAAAGAGACAUGCCUUGCUUAAUAUUUCACAGUAGGUUUGGUGUCUGCACACAGACCACACACUUAUUUAUGACAGAGAUGUUUCCUAACUCUGCCCUCCCACACCGCAUCAUCUCGGGGCCAAGCACAGAAAUCAUUCCACGUGUGCUGGGCUGAUUUCAGUGCGGCUUCCCUGGGGCUGGAGAAGUGGUGGUUAAGGAUGCAGAGUCAGCCUACGUAGGGAAACCAAGAUCGCUCCCAGGAAACGGGCCAGACAUGAUUGAAAAAGCUCUUCCUUCCCUGGUGUGUGUAAUACACGUGUAUAUAUUUACUUGUAGCAAAUAAGUUUAAAUUUUCAAAGUUAAAUCAACUCGUUAAGACACAUGUAAGAAAGUUGAAAUGUAAAAUCAGUGGGUGGUGCAAUUUAUUAAUCUCUGUCUCUGACUGACUUGAAUCCAGGUGAAGAUGGUCCCUCCAUGAGGACAAUGGGAGCCACAGUCCUUUACAGUGUGUAUAGAGUUUUCACAUCCAUUAACUCAAACAAUACUGAAAAGACCAGCACGAUGAACAAAGCAGGAAUAGCUGCCUCCAUCUUUCAGGUGAGGAAGAUGCGCUCCCAAGUUUCCUACACGACGGAAGGUGAGUAUUGCACAUGGCGAUAUGAAGGUGUGAGCAGGUCCUCAGCCCAACCCCACUGCCCCUGAAAUACAAGCCUGUCCAGUGGGCUGGCCAUUCUCGUGCCCCCUCCCCAUCACCUGACCCAUCCUCUGCCCCGGUCUACCAGGGUCUGACCUCUCAGACGCUCCCCUUGGGCUCCCUUGUCAUGGGGCUUCCGGUUGGGUUAUUUCCGCAUUGUUUUACCCACAGGAUUCUAGAUUUCUUGACUUGUUCAGAAAAGUCUUGCUCACUGCUUUUUCUAUACCAACAGCUUCAUUCCUAAUAAUCGAAAAUGUAAUUAAUCUGAUUUGUCCUUGAAGUGGGUGAGGUGAGGAGCCAGCUUUUAAUUCUAUGAAAGACCAGGGUCGUUGAGUCGCCCGCUGCUGGAGGCGAGGAUUUAACAGGAAGGCUCGGUGAUGCCGGCUGCGUUUCCUCGAUGUUGCGGGGCAGGCAGCCAACAGCCAGAAUCCUGCUCCACUCUCUGAGGCUGAGAGAAGUCAAAGCGAGACCCCACACCGUACCCCGCAGCCCCCGGAAGACCCGGAGGCCCCCAAGCUGGGGUGCUCCCCAUCUCACAUUGUGCCCUGGCUGCAGCCACACUGCCCAGGCGACACAACGUCAGGCCGAGAAUCUUUAGCGCUGGCUUCCUGCCCCAGGACCCAUCCCGGUCCCCAUCCGCGCCCCCCAGCCUCCGAGCAGCCGCAUGAGAAUAGACCCUGAUUGGGUUCUCUCCUCUGUUAGUCUCCAUCUUAUCUAUUUUUCUGUUGAAUAAAAU
ensembl:lncRNA